CCUGGGGCUCCAGACCUGGCCCCUUGGGGUCACGGGACACAACAGAGCAAAUCCCCGGCAUGAGUUCAGAUGCUGGUAGAAACCACAUGGGGCUGGUCCUGGGGUAGGAGGUGGGAGUCAGUGGAAGAGACAGGCAGGGUGCUCCCAACUAAAAUAGCUUCUGGAAUAAAAGGUCAAGAAGAGGCCUGUAUUAUUGUGUCUUGCCAGGGGGUCCCCAAGACCCAGAAUCCAGGAAGAGAUGGAGCCUACUCAGGAAAUUCCCAUUCAGCCAAAAGCAACUCAGCCAAGGGAUGCUGAAGAAACAGCUGGAGAAAGCCAGGAAGCAGGUCGUUAAAAGGGCUCACAGAAGUGUCAAAGGCAGCUGCACUCCUCGAGACACUGAGAAUUCCACUGAAGAGACAGGAUAUACAUCUAUGAACAGCAAGCCACAGUACAAGCCAGAGAUCAUCAAGGUCCUCAGGUCUCUCCUCAGAGACCAUCAGGGUCCUUGGGUCCUGAGGACUGUCAGGGUCCUUGGGUGCCACAUGGGCGAGUGCUCUGCUCGGGGAUGGGAGGGAAAGUUUGGAGGGUUUUUUUGGAGUCAGGAGACAUUGGAACAAGCCUUGAAGCCCAAGUCAAAGGAGAGGAAGAGAAAUAGAGACACACACACACACACACACACACAGAGAGAGAGAGAAACAGACACACACACACACACACAGAGACACAGAGACACACACACACACACACAGAGAAACAGAGACACACACACACACAGAGACACAGAGACACACACACACACAGAGAGAGAAACAAAGACACACACACACAGAGAGAGAGAGAAACAGAGACACACACACAGAGAGAGAGAGAAACAGAGACACACACACACAGAGAGACACAGAGACACACACACAGAGAGAGAGAGAAACAAAGACACACACACACAGAGAAACAGAGACACACACACACACAGAGAAACAGAGACACACACAGAGAAACAGACACGCACACACAGAGAGAAACAAAGACACACACACACACACAGAGAAACAGAGACACACACACAGAGAGAGACACACAUACACACACAGAGAAACAGACACACACAGAGAAAUAGAGACACACACACACACACACACAGAGAGAGAAACAGAGACACACACANACACAGAGAGAGAGAGAGAAACAGAGACACACAGAGAGAGAGAGAGAGAGAAAUAGAGACACACACACACAGAGAGAGAGAGAAACAGAGACAGAAACAGAGAAAAAAUAUAUAUAUACACACACACUCAUAUGUAAAGAGAGACAGAGACAGAGAAACAGAAUAUAUAUAUACAUAUACAUAGAGACAUAUAUAUAUAUAUAUAUAGAGAGAGAGAGAGAGAGAGAAAGGCAGAG
rnacentral:lncRNA from 13 species